GUCCUGGCCCUAAACGGUGCACGUUUGCUGUAAGAGGAAUCGACCCCUUUUGUGGCGAAGCUAACGCGUUAAACGUGCCGCCUGGGAAGUACGGCCGCAAGGUUAAACUCAAAGAAAUUGACGGGGGCCUGCACAAGCGGUGGAGUAUGUGGCUUAAUUCGAUGCAACGCGAAGAACCUUACCUGGCCUUGACAUGCAUAUAGUAGAAGGGUGAAAGCCUGACGAGGUAGCAAUACCAGUAUGCACAGGUGCUGCAUGGCUGUCGU
rnacentral:rRNA from 1 species